UACCUGCAGCUCGAGUGGUAACCGCUAUUAUUGGGCCUAAAGCGUCCGUAGCCGGUUUGGUAAAUAUCUGGGUAAAUCGUGAGGCUUAACUUCACGAAUUUCGGAUAGACUGCCAGACUUGGGAUCGGGGGAGGUCAGAGGUACUCCAGGGGUAGCGGUGAAAUGUUGUAAUCCUUGGAGGACAACCGGUAGCGAAGGCGUCUGACUAGAACGAGUCCGACGGUGAGGGACGAAGCCCUGGGGCGCAAACCGGAUUAGAUACCCGGGUAGUCCAGGGUGUAAACAAUAUGGGCUUUGUAUUGGAGGUUCCACGUGGGCGUCCAGUGCAGAAGAGAAGUUGUUAAGCCCACCGCCUGGGAAGUACGGUCGCAAGGCUGAAACUUAAAGGAAUUGGCGGGGGAGCACAGCAACGGGAGGAGCGUGCGGUUU
rnacentral:rRNA from 1 species